GUGAGGAAUAUUGGUCAAUGGGCGCUAGCCUGAACCAGCCAAGUAGCGUGAAGGAUGACUGCCCUAUGGGUUGUAAACUUCUUUUAUAUGGGAAUAAAGUGCAGUAUGUAUACUGCUUUGCAUGUACCUUAUGAAUAAGGAUCGGCUAACUCCGUGCCAGCAGCCGCGGUAAUACGGAGGAUCCGAGCGUUAUCCGGAUUUAUUGGGUUUAAAGGGAGCGUAGGCGGGUUGUUAAGUCAGUUGUGAAAGUUUGCGGCUCAACCGUAAAAUUGCAGUUGAUACUGGCAUCCUUGAGUACAGUAGAGGUAGGCGGAAUUCGUGGUGUAGCGGUGAAAUGCUUAGAUAUCACGAAGAACUCCGAUUGCGAAGGCAGCCUGCUGGACUGUAACUGACGCUGAUGCUCGAAAGUGUGGGUAUCAAACAGGAUUAGAAACCCCAGUAGUCC
rnacentral:rRNA from 1 species